AAUUAACAAAGCAACCAAUUUUAUAAAUAAUCGGUCAUGCACAAGGAAAUACUAGCACAAUCCUUCAUUCAAUAAUCAAGAUAAACCUACAAUCAUGUACAAGACAUCGCACACAAUACAAUCAUACUCAAUAUCUAUGCUACCAUCAAUUUUAUACAUUCCAUUCGGUCAAGAAAAAAACGAAAAUUUUCAUCCUGUUACUCUACACACUAGGUUUAGAAUCCAACAACUUCGGUCCGGACUUCGUCCCUACAUCAUCUGUAAAAAUGAAAGAGUGAGUUCAUUUAACUCAGUACAGUAAAACUCAAAAUACAAGUGUGAAAUGCAACAAUAUAAAACCAUAUGCCUUUACCAACAGUUCACUACUGAACUCCAGUUUCCCCUCCUGUACCUACAAUCCUACCUACCCAGGGUUUCCAUUCCCUGACGGCACUCCAGGCGUGCCAGUGAUACCAUCCACCGCCAAGGUCGGCGACCAUUAACCACUUAUCGACCCCUAUUGGGCCACACACGCACACUAUUUUCAAUCAUUUUCGUCACCUUCAUCAGCGACUAUUAUUCACCUACCGACCCCUAUCGGGCAACAUACACACACUCUAAUCAUUCUCUCUCGUCACCACCAUCGGCGACCGUUAGCCAUCUAUCGACUUAUACCAGGCCACUCACACACACCCUGAUCAUUCUCUCUCGUCACCUAUAUCAGCGACCACUAGCCAUCUCUCGACCCAUACCAGGCCACGUACGCACACCAUUUUCAUUCACUUGUGUCACCAACAUCGACGACCAUUAGCCAUCUCUCGACCUAUACCAGGCCACUCACACACACUCUGAUCAUUCUCUUCCGUCACCGAUAUCGGCGACCACUAACCAUCUCUCGACCCAUACCAGACCACGUACGCACACCAUUUUCAUUCACUUGUGUCACCAACAUCGACGACCAUUAGCCAUCUCUCGACCUAUACCAGGCCACUCACACACACUCUGAUCAUUCUCUCCUGUCACCGAUAUCGGCGACCACUAACCAUCUCUCGACUUAUACCAGGCCACGCACGCACACCAUUUUCAUUCACUUGCAUCACCAACAUCGGCAACCAUCGUCCACCUAUCGACCCCCAUCGGGCCACACACACACACACUACUCAUUCUCUCCCAUUGCCUCUCUCCGCUCGCUACCUGCGACAUGUCCUAGGUGCCCCUACUCACACCGUCCUUCUCCCCCAAGGCUCCAGCUACCCCACUCCACUCCUUCAAGCAUCUCACUCACCCGGCGGACCCUUCCUUUCCCUAGCAUUCACUCACUGCCUCUCCCUAUCUCUCGCUCGGACUACAUCUUCCCGCCACACCAUCUUUCUCACCUCACUCACCCCGCGGAUCCUUCCCUUCCCCAGCGUUCACCCACUGCCUCUCCCUAUCUCUCUCUCGGACUACGUCCUCACGCCACAACAUCUUUCUAUCUCCUCCCGAGUUACUCACACCACCCUUUCCCUCUCCCACAGCUCACUAACCUCAUACCUCUUCCUCUCUCCUCCCGCGUUGCUCGUACAACCUGCUCACUCUCACACAAUUCACACACAUCUUUCUCUCUUUCCCCGCGUUGCUCACACAACUCGUUCCCUCUCACACCGCUCACUAACCUCACACAUCUUCCUCUCUCCUCCCACGUUGCUCACACAACCCGCUCUCUCUCACACAGUUCACACACCUCUUUCUCUCUCCUGACCUCCACUCACUCCACACUCCUAUCUCUCUCCCAACCUCCACCCGUGCCGGCACCUUCUCCCUCUCUCCUCCCGUGAUUCUCAUGCGGCCAAUUUCCUUCCACCCGCCUUGCUACACAUACUCACCCUACACGGCCUCCUCCGUACACCGCUACUUCCGUAAGCCGUGACCACGCACGCCGAAUAUCCAAACAUUUCAAACUCAAAUCAACACACGUAUUUGAAGUUUGUUAUCGUAC
rnacentral:lncRNA from 1 species